GCACCAUGUGGCAUGUUCGGCAACAAUGGUGCCGAACAUGCAUAAUUCAAUGCUUCGUCAGAAAUUCCUGACGAAGCAUUGACCGCGUGCAUGUAGAGCUACGCGGCUCUGCAUGCACAGUCCUCGACAAAGGAGACUUUGGCUUUAAAGCCAAAGUCUCGACUCUUCUUCUUCUCUUUCCCCUUCAAAAUUUUUCAUCCUCCUUCUCCUCCGCAGCCUUCUCUUCUCUCUCUCCAUCGCCGGAAGCCUUCAUCUUCAGCAAAUCUUCUUCUUCAAAUCUUCUUCUCCAGCACAAGCGAUCUCUUUCCAUCACAGAUAUGGAAGAAAGGCGCAACCGUCGUGACAGACGUGAUUAUAUUUUACCUGGUUCCAAUGAUCCAUCGUUGCUAUAUGGACAAGCCGAACAUAGGUCUGAGGCUAUAUGGCAACAAAAUAUAGAAAGUGGGGCAAUAGGUUGUAGAAGAACGGGUACAGUUUUACAUUUGGGUGAAAUACCAGAUCAAAUAAUACCUCACCUACGACGGUCGGGUUUUUAUGGUGUAAUCCGGUUAGGUUUUUUUGCAUUAGAUUGGCAUUUAAUUACGGCUCUUGUUGAGAGGUAGCGACCAGAGACACAUACAUUUAUGUUUCCUGAAGGAGAAAUGACUAUAACCCUUCAGGAUGUAGGGCUAAUAACCGGGUUGCCUGUCAAUGGUGCAGCUGUUACAGGCCGAUCACGCCACCAUUGGCCUUCAGUUUAUGAGGCGUUAUUAGGUGUCAUUCCACCUAAUAAUGCCAUUAGAGGGUGUUAUCUGAAACUAAGUUGGCUUGCUGAGGAAUUUAGUCAACUUCCCGAUGAUGCUGAUGAGGAAGUUGUUCAUAGGUUUGCAAGAGCAUACAUUAUGAGAGCGAUUGGAUCCAUAUUUGGUGAUACAUCUGCGUCGCGGGUGAACUUAAUGUUUCUACCUUUGUUAGCCGAUCUUGAGGACGCUGGUAAUUAUAGCUGGGGUGGGGCAUGUCUAGCAUAGUUGUAUAGACAGUUAUGUAAGGCGACAAAUCCUGAAGUUAUGCAAAUGUCUGGUCCCUUAUUUAUAGUUCAGAUAUGGGCAUGGGACCGAAUCACAGCAGUAUCGCCGGCACUGUCAGACAGAGCACCACAUCAUGAUGCUCCACUAGGCAGCAGGUGGAGUAAUGCCAGACAUGUUACAGAGGUAGUCACCCACGUACUCGUGGAGCUGCGAUAUCAGCUUGAUAGAUUAUUACCCGAGCAGGUACUUUGGGAGCCGUACACUGAUGCCCUGCCACAUAUUGAGUAAUGGACUCUCGAGGUUUUAUUUAUUUUGUUUGACCUCCAGUCCAUCUCAUUACGUAUUUGAGAAGAUCUCGGACGUCCCUUCUUUCUGAUUCUAGAAAUAUCAGGCACAUGAGGAAGUCCAUCUGUUGGAGGCCAAUAGUCAGGGUGUCCAAGAGGAUGGAAUGUGUACGCGUAACAUUGUAUGUAACGAUGAUGACCAGCUGGAGGUUGCCACCAAUCUUUCUGCAUCGCCUUCAAAAUUCCAGCAUGUCGAUCUGAAAUUACACACAAAUCUUCUCGGUUGGUUACAAAGAUCCUUAAGCAAUCCAUAAACCAUGACCAAUUGUCCCCGUCCUCCUUAUCCACAAUGGCAAAAGCUAAUGGAAAUAGUUGAUUAUUUCCAUCAAGUGCGGUUGCACACAGUAUACACCCAGUGUAUUUUUCGUAUAAGAAUGUCCCAUCGAUUGAGAUAACAGGUCGGCAAUGUUUAAAUCCCUCAAUCGAUUGCUUAAAAGCCCAAAACAUACGGUCAAAUACACGACACAUCGGAUUUAAUCGCUCAUUUAUCCAAUAUGGAUUAUCUUUAAUCAUGUAUACUGUUUCUGGGUUAAAAUGAUGAAGAGCAGUCAUGAAUCUACGCAAACAACUGUAUGAUUCAUCCCAACCCCCAUAAAGCCUUGCAAUUGCCUUCUGCUUAGCUUUCCAUGUUUUCUGAUAAGACGGCUCGUAUCCAUAUUUAUCCCGCACUUCAGCUUGUAGGGCAGCAAUUUUUAUAUCGGGCUGCUGUUCAAUUAAUGC